rnacentral:rRNA from 1 species
UACGUAGGGGGCAAGCGUUGUCCGGAAUCAUUGGGCGUAAAGAGCGCGUAGGCGGUCCGAUAAGUCGGCUGUGAAAGUCAGGGGCUCAACCCUUGAAAGCCGGCCGAUACUGUCGGACUAGAGUCCGGAAGAGGCAAGUGGAAUUCCCGGUGUAGCGGUGAAAUGCGCAGAUAUCGGGGGGAACACCAAUGGCGAAGGCAGCUUGCUGGGACGGUACUGACGCUGAGACGCGAAAGCGUGGGGAGCGAACAGG